rnacentral:rRNA from 1 species
AGCGAACGCUGGCGGCAGGCUUAACACAUGCAAGUCGAACGGUCCUUCGGGAUAGUGGCGGACGGGUGAGUAACACGUGGGAACGUACCCUUAGGUUCGGAACAACACAGGGAAACUUGUGCUAAUACCGGAUAAGCCCUUCGGGGGAAAGAUUUAUCGCCUUUGGAGCGGCCCGCGUCUGAUUAGCUUGUUGGUGGGGUAAUGGCUCACCAAGGCUACGAUCAGUAGCUGGUCUGAGAGGAUGGCCAGCCACACUGGGACUGAGAGACGGCCCAAACUCCUACGGGAGGCAGCAGUGGGGAAUCUUGCGCAAUGGGCGAAAGCCUGACGCAGCCAUGCCGCGUGGAUGAUGAAGGUCUUAGGAUUGUAAAAUCCUUUCACCGGGGACGAUAAUGACGGUACCCGGAGAAGAAGCCCCGGCUAACUUCGUGCCAGCCGCCGCCGUAA